AAAAAAGUGAAAGUGAACGCGAAGGAAAAUAACAAUUGUAUAAUAGAACAGGAUUAAAAUGCAUAAGCGUCCGUUUCCUCCCACAUCAAGAUGAAAACGUAAAAUCGCUAACUAGGUUGGUGGUAAAACGGUGCCUGAACUGCGAGGAUAUGCCUACGAAGGCAAAACUGUUGAAUGAACAUCGGUACAUAAAAUAUUCUAAAAUCGCAUGUUUUCUUAAAUUAAAUGUUUUCGUUAAUUUGUAAUAAAACAUGUCGAAUAAAAGUAUAUUGGAGGAACAGCUGAAAUUUAUGAGAAAAAAAAACAAAGUAAGCUAAGAGUAUAUUCUUCCAAGAAUGACAAUCGUACCUAGAAAAUAAGAAGA